rnacentral:rRNA from 1 species
AACGGGUGGUAAUGCCGGAUGCUCCGACUCCUCGCAUGGGGUGUCGGGAAAGAUUUCAUCGGUAUGGGAUGGGGUCGCGUCCUAUCAGGUAGUCGGCGGGGUAACGGCCCACCGAGCCUACGACGGGUAGCCGGCCUGAGAGGGCGACCGGCCACAUUGGGACUGAGAUACGGCCCAGACUCCUACGGGAGGCAGCAGUGGGGAAUAUUGCACAAUGGGCGCAAGCCUGAUGCAGCGACGCCGCGUGCGGGAUGACGGCCUUCGGGUUGUAAACCGCUUUUGAUCGGGAGCAAGCCUUCGGGUGAGUGUACCUUUCGAAUAAGCACCGGCUAACUACGUGCCAGCAGCCGCGGUAAUACGUAGGGUGCAAGCGUUAUCCGGAAUUAUUGGGCGUAAAGGGCUCGUAGGCGGUUCGUCGCGUCCGGUGUGAAAGUCCAUCGCUUAACGGUGGAUCUGCGCCGGGUACGGGCGGGCUGGAGUGCGGUAGGGGAGACUGGAAUUCCCGGUGUAACGGUGGAAUGUGUAGAUAUCGGGAAGAACACCAAUGGCGAAGGCAGGUCUCUGGGCCGUUACUGACGCUGAGGAGCGAAAGCGUGGGGAGCGAACAGGAUUAGAUACCCUGGUAGUCCACGCCGUAAACGGUGGAUGCUGGAUGUGGGGCCCGUUCCACGGGUUCCGUGUCGGAGCUAACGCGUUAAGCAUCCCGCCUGGGGAGUACGGCCGCAAGGCUAAAACUCAAAGAAAUUGACGGGGGCCCGCACAAGCGGCGGAGCAUGCGGAUUAAUUCGAUGCAACGCGAAGAACCUUACCUGGGCU